ensembl:lncRNA
CGGCACGCUCCGCCCCCGCGCCCCCCACCGCGCGGGAGCCGCGCGAAGCUCCGCCUCCUCGCUCGCCCCGCGGGCCCCCCCCACCCCCACCCCGAGUGCCCGACCGGGUUGGAUCCAAAAUCUGGCCCGGAUUUGCAACGAAUCAAAAAUAACGCUCUUUCAGCGAGCAGUCAUUCAUUGAGCACUUACUCAAGCACAGGACCGUACUAAUAGCUGAGAGGGCAGCAAAGAGCUGAAAAUCUAUGAAGCUGUGUCUUCAGCCCCUCCCCUUGUUUUACAGGUCAGGAAACGAGACUCAACAGUUACUUUCAGGCACACCUAUAGUGUCAAAGAGCCUUACUAGCUCUCUCCCCUCUGGACUCCUCCUCACUGAGCUUUUUCUACUAAGGUGCCCAAAGGAAAACUAUUCAACUUUUCUGCCUCUAGGCAAGCCAAAAGGAAUAAUCCAGAACAGAUGGUUUACUUUGGAGAAACUGGAAUUUGAUACCUAAGCUUUUGCCUUCAAAUGGUAUAAACUCUUAACGGGGUUAUUACAGCCUACGAAGAAAGUGGAACCUAGAACUACCGAACAUAUAUUAAAUACUCUUCUCUCUCUUCUUUUUUUUACCCUUCCCUCAAUUAUAUCCCUUAUCAUGUCUGUCUUUAUUGUCCUUCUGGAUACUGACAAACUACUCAGUGCAUUUUCAAAUCGUUUAAUACAAAUGUAAAUUCCAGAUGCUCUGGUGCUUUCGGUUCAAAAUUAAUUCUAAAGUUUUAAGAAUCUACUCAGAGACUUAAAUGACCUGAUAACUAGAACUCCUUGAGUCUUCUAAGGAGAAUAAAAUUGCUCUCCUGUGAAAGGGAUAAGUGCCAGUUUUAUACUUUUUUUUUAUUUGUCACUGAAAUAAUUACUGUAGGGUAAGCUUUUUUCUGCCAAUGCUUAAGGAUUUAAAUCCAAGAGCACUUAGCUGAGAGGACCACUCUCAUCAAAUAGCAGUGGAGACCUAUGUGUAAAUUGGACUGAGCUCUAUUGGCACUGUGACCCCCACAUUAAAUAGAUGGAGUUCCUGGCCACUUGUAGCUGACAGUCUAGAAUGGAAUGUUCAAAGAUAAACAACAAAGACAGGCUUUACAGAGACAGCUGGAUUCUCAUAUUCUGCUUCUGCAUUUACUCUGUUGAGACGUGUUGUUACAGCUAAGAUUUGAAGAAAAUCAGUCCUCGUACAAAUUCAGUUGAAAAAGGGAAGAUCUUGCGAACUCCCUAAAAAAGUCUUAGUAACCUCGAGGAUCCUCAGACCUCACUUUGAGAACUGCUGCCAAAGAGCAUUUUGCGUUUCUUUUGUUUGAAUAUCAUGCGUUCCCACAGCAGAGUCUGCCAACACCUGAAGUUACAGCCCUUCACUUGUUCCAAGCUACAACUCAAAUCUGACAGCUCGCAUCAAACCAUCUCAAUUCUGAAAGUUUGUUCAAAGCUUUUACUGUAGCAACUCCGAUGAAACUGAUAUUCUUAUUUGAAUAUACAUGAAAACAUUUGAGAUUUCAUUUAUAUCCCUCAUUUCAAACUUUCUGGGAAAUUUUGAAUAUAAAUUGUGCCAUCUGGAAAAAUGAAACAUGGUAUAUAGUUAUUAACCCAAUUUUAAGUGUACUUACAAUGAAUGCGUGUCUCCUUUUAUAUAAAUAAUUUUAAAAUGAGUUUAAAAUAAAAGUAAAACAAGCAAUUAUAGUUUUAUUUAUUGAGUAAAUAAAUACCAGGUUCUAAAGCGA